AGCGGCGGACGGGUGAGUAAAGCCUAGGAAAUUGCCCUGAUGUGGGGGAUAACCAUUGGAAACGAUGGCUAAUACCGCAUGAUGCCUAUGGGCCAAAGAGGGGGACCUUCGGGCCUCUCGCGUCAGGAUAUGCCUAGGUGGGAUUAGCUAGUUGGUGAGGUAAGGGCUCACCAAGGCGACGAUCCCUAGCUGGUCUGAGAGGAUGAUCAGCCACACUGGAACUGAGACACGGUCCAGACUCCUACGGGAGGCAGCAGUGGGGAAUAUUGCACAAUGGGCGCAAGCCUGAUGCAGCCAUGCCGCGUGUAUGAAGAAGGCCUUCGGGUUGUAAAGUACUUUCAGUCGUGAGGAAGGCGGCGUCGUUAAUAGCGGCGUUGUUUGACGUUAGCGACAGAAGAAGCACCGGCUAACUCCGUGCCAGCAGCCGCGGUAAUACGGAGGGUGCGAGCGUUAAUCGGAAUUACUGGGCGUAAAGCGCAUGCAGGUGGUUUGUUAAGUCAGAUGUGAAAGCCCGGGGCUCAACCUCGGAAUAGCAUUUGAAACUGGCAGACUAGAGUACUGUAGAGGGGGGUAGAAUUUCAGGUGUAGCGGUGAAAUGCGUAGAGAUCUGAAGGAAUACCGGUGGCGAAGCGGCCCCCUGGACAGAUACUGACACUCAGAUGCGAAAGCGUGGGGAGCAAACAGGAUUAGAU
rnacentral:rRNA from 1 species